AUUGAACGCUGGCGGCAUGCUUUACACAUGCAAGUCGAACGCGAAAGCGGGGGCAACCCUGCCGGUAGAGUGGCGAACGGGUGAGUAACACAUCGGAACGUAUCCUCGCGUGGGGGACAACCAGUCGAAAGACGGGCUAAUACCGCAUACGCUGGAGACAGGAAAGCAGGGGACCCGCAAGGGCCUUGUGCGCAUGGAGCGGCCGAUGUCUGAUUAGCUAGUUGGUGGGGAAAGGCUCACCAAGGCGACGAUCAGUAGCUGGUCUGAGAGGAUGAUCAGCCACACUGGGACUGAGACACGGCCCAGACUCCUACGGGAGGCAGCAGUGGGGAAUUUUUGGACAAUGGGGGCAACCCUGAUCCAGCCAUGCCGCGUGAGGGAAGAAGGCCUGG
rnacentral:rRNA from 1 species